CCUAACUUACCUUCAUCUUUUUCUCAGGUUCUACCAGAAACACCAUUUUACAAGUUUGUUAAUGUUUUAAGAUCAAAGUGUAACCUGAAUAGGCUGGCGAAACGUAUCAUACGGUGGUACGACGAAAACGCAAAGCUUGAUGGAAUGACGUUCAACUAUAGAUUCACAGGUUUUGUGGUAACGAACUAAGGAACAAGAUAAAGGAAAGCUUGGAGAAAUUCAAAAACAAUUUUGAUGAAAAUGUGUUGUGACGCCGACUCGAAUCAUGCAUGAAAUCGAACAAUCAUUUAGCAGGAUUUGCUCUUUUGUGUGAGUACAUCAGCAGAAUUGAUAUAAGUUUUAAUGAUUGAGAGAAAUGUUUAUCAUGAUUCAUUCUAUUUAUGGCAUGUGUCAUACUCCAACUUGAUGCUUAAAAGAAAUACCCUGUCAUGAUUGUGAUAUUCUUUCUUAUUAAUGUCCAAUAUAUGUUAUUAAUAUAUUUGACCAUAUAAACGUACACAAUUGUGUAUAUAUGAGAAAUUUAACUAUAAACCGGAAAUAUUUAGCACUGUUAUUAGUUUUGAUUAUUGUUCUGAUUAGUUGCAAUGUCUCAAAUGUAUUUACAAUAUAACAACACUAUAUAAGUGGGCUUUAACCAAAUAAUGUACAAAUCUAAAAUAUACAGUAACAUACUAACUGUGUAUGUAAGCACACUGGAAUAUGCUAAUACAUCUUAAUAACAACUCUGAACAAUGUCGGCCGCACAACAUUGAUCAAUCAUGUUCAUAUCAAUAUUGCAUCAACCUGAUGUUUUUUAAGUGUGUACUUAGUAUAUUAGUUUGACAAAGUAUUGAAAUCAGUGCUAUUAGUUUUAAAUAGUGUUCAGGUUACUUGCAAU